UGAGGAAUCUUGCGCAAUGGGGGCAACCCUGACGCAGCAACGCCGCGUGAGUGAGGAAGGCCUUCGGGUCGUAAAGCUCUGUCGGAUGGAAAGAAACGGAUGCGGGUUAAUAGCCUUCAUCCCUGACGGUACCAUCAGAGGAAGCACCGGCUAACUCCGUGCCAGCAGCCGCGGUAAUACGGGGGGUGCAAGCGUUGUUCGGAAUCAUUGGGCGUAAAGCGCGUGUAGGCGGCUUGGUAAGUCAGGUGUGAAAGCCCUGGGCUCAACCCAGGAAGUGCACUUGAAACUGCCUUGCUUGAGUACGGGAGAGGAAAGCGGAAUUCCUGGUGUAGAGGUGAAAUUCGUAGAUAUCAGGAGGAACACCGGUGGCGAAGGCGGCUUUCUGGCCCAAUACUGACGCUGAGACGCGAAAGCGUGGGGAGCAAACA
rnacentral:rRNA from 1 species